GGAGAGAUGGCUCAGUGGUUAAGAGCACUGACUGCUCUUCCAGAGGUCCUGAGUUCAAUUCCGAGCAACCACA
rnacentral:tRNA from 1 species